UACGAAGGGGGCUAGCGUUGUUCGGAAUUACUGGGCGUAAAGCGCGCGCAGGCGGCUAUCCAAGUCAGUGGUGAAAGCCCGGAGCUCAACUCCGGAACUGCCAUUGAAACUGUUUAGCUUGAGGACGAGAGAGGUGAGUGGAAUUCCAGUGUAGAGGUGAAAUUCGUAGAUAUUGGGAAGAACACCGGUGGCGAAGGCGGCUCACUGGACUGGUACUGACGCUGAGGCGCGGAAA
rnacentral:rRNA from 1 species